GAGGCCACAGGAGAAGGCCAGCCAGAGGAGAGAGGCAACAGGAGUCAGGGAGCCCCCGAUAAGACCAGACGGCAGAUAUCCAGAAGGAAGAGCCCUUAUAACCGCGUGGGCCCCCCACUGCGUCCCCGGCGGGGGGCCGUACGUCAACCCCUGGACCGGCAGUCGGGGAGGCCUUCCUCGAGGCAGAUGGACGAACCCGGAAUCGAACGGGCGACAGAUCCUAGUGGGUGUUAAGCAAAUGCGUUGCAUGGUUGUUUAAAUGUGUGUUUCGUUUCAAUGUGUUCAUCUCAAUCGCUCGGCGCGAGGAGGAAGCGACCGCAACGUAGACCGAAGCAGAGUGGACAUCUUGUUGGGUAUACGUUUCUAAACGAAGGAUGUGUAUACAAAAGAGGGCCGUCUCUUGCGUUCACUCUCCACAUCCGUCCUGCACUUGAAUGCAUCUCAGUUGCCUCUGUCGUCUGAAAUAUGUAACUCCUCGCUGUGACAACCCAAAUUCCCCGUGUUGGAUUCAUGAAGUACAUCUCGCCUUCAGCUGAAGAGGCAGAGCCACGCGCCGGGCGGGCACCGCAACGGAGCGCCCGCGGCCGCCAGCGACCUCCCACGGAGCUUUUUCCGGCACCCCGGCGAUGGAAAGGCAGACGGAGAACCCCAAAACAAACGGCCGUUCCUCAUCCGGGGCAGAAGCCAUCCCAGCCAAUCAGAGAGCCCGGCCCGCGGGCCGGUGCGAAUCACCCUGGACAGACGGGCGUUGUCUGGGAGAGAGUGCGUGAGGCCGAGCGUUUCUCCAUCGGGGGCCGGGAAGUCGACCGCAUCCCCUGGACUGAACAAGGACGACAGCGGCGCCUCUGAUCCCAUUGUGCUGUCCAGCGAUGAGAGCGAGGCAGGCGAGCCGGACCCCCGCUGUAGUCCUGUCAGCCAGCUCAAGGUUUGUGUGGGAGCGACGGGGUCUCUGAAAAAGGCUCCAAAGAAAACGGCGGUCGCUCAGGGAGAAGACACCAACACAAAGGUGGUGGAGGACAAUUUCCCAGAUGAUGAAUUGAAGGCUUUUAUAGUGUCCAGUAUUUCCAGUCAGGAUUACUCGUGCACGACCCUCUCCUUCUAUGCCCUGCACUCUGGAUGCUACAAGGGGCUUGCUAACGGGAACAUCAUGAUUCAGGGCAGACGACUCCUCAUACCGUUAAAAGACUCCAGUAGCAAGCUGCCGGUGCUAUUUGCGGUGGAGUUUAAGGAGCUGCGGAGCUACAGCUUGUGGGAGCAGAGCGAGUUGCAGGCCCGCGGGCUGCGGUACCAGAGCGAGCACCUCGAGCCCCCCAUGUUCCUCCUGCUCCUGGUCUCCUACCCCCAGGCCGUCGCCACACAGACGCUUCUCCUCAAGAUGUCAGGCCAACAGCGCACGGACAGCCUGGGUGAGACUGCCAAACAAAAGACGUUACACACAAGUACAGACAAGUACAAAACGGAGAAAAGAACGUGCAUGCAGUGAAUGAGUGAACACAAGCACCUUUCUAUGAGCACAUGUCACAAGCCAACGGCCCGUGUAGAAACGUGUUUUCGGGAGGGUAGCCCUGAACGUUCCUACGCCG
ensembl:lncRNA